rnacentral:lncRNA from 1 species
UCUCUUGUUGAUUGGAUCUUAACUGGAUUUCUUGUUCCAUGGCGUCAACAGGCCGGCCGAUACUGAUUCAACCUAAUUUCUUCUUGUUCGGUAGGUCGGUUUUUCCGGAUCUCGCCUCCAAGAUUGUUCCAUCUUUUCUCGACCUCAAAUCUGUUUGUUCAUGCCUACAGGAUCUCCUCGCGGCCGGCUCUAUGCAUACCUCGUGUCCGAUGCACGCGUUCAUUGUGUAGAACACAGAUCGAUCUGAGCUGCUCAUGCCCGGUGAGUCUAGAUAGACUUGUAAUCGUUCAUUGUUUGUGGUUAAUUUCAAUCAGAACGAAACUUCUUUUGGUUUCUGAUGUUACGAAGGUGUUUACAUGAUCUCUUUCCUCUUGUUUCUAUAUGUUCUGGUUUGAUCUCUACAGUUUUCCUUUUCUUUCGAAAUUUUAUUGGCUCGCCGUCUUAUUUUCUUCAAUAAAAGUCGAGAUCCCGUACGUUUUUCCCGUGGGAACGGAACGGGGAGUCUGAAUCUGAAACAGACGCACCCACGCGUCUCGUACGUUCUUGCGUCUCGUACAUUUUUGCAUCUCGUACGUUUUUGCUGGUGUCUCGAAGGUGAAGGUGCUUAGAUGAUUUCUUCCAUCUGGUUGGUUUCUACAUGUCUGAUUUGAUCUCUACAAUCUCCUUUUUGCCUUCUGAAACUUUAUCGAUUCUGAAACUUUUUUUGUUUGAACGAAAUAUAAACCGGACACCGUCCGAGAUCCCGUGCGUUUUUCCAUCACGAAUGCCCCGGCAUCUUGCCUAUAUUUUUUCCAUCUUCUUCGUAGAUCUAUCCGUCGGCAGAUGAGUGACAACUCGUUUGUCCUCUCUCUUGUCGAUCUCCCCGUGCAGCUGUUGUUUCACGCCAAACAGACUGCCAUCCGUUUGAUUGGUUUUCCAGCGGACUACUUUCAGGCUUGUAUCUUAACUGAAUUUCCUCUGCUAACAGAUAACAGAUGAGCUGCAUAUACAGUUGGAGACCAAAAACGACAAUAGCAACCCAGAACGCCAGGUAAACUUUCUGACAUCAUAUCCAUUCUCACGCUGCUAUCAUUCAACAUAAAUUGAACACAAUGCAUAGAAAAACAUUUCCUCAUCUCGCAAUAAAAUCAACAUAGCCAGGUUCCAUUAUCAUAUCUUCAAAACAUUCAAACACAAGUCGUAGAUCGUAACUCAGUCUCACCGAUAUAAACUCAUACUGUCUCACUACAUAUGCGUAAGAAAAGUUGACGGAAAUUAUAGUUGUCCUGGAAGAUUCUGGAAAGGUAUUUAUUCGCAAAAGAACAAAUUACGGCUGACGCUUGUCCUAGGCUAUUCCGCAAGUGCUUUUACUGCAACACCUGUGAUCCUAAGAAACCAAUGUCAGCUUAUGAAACUAAUGUCAACGUAUUAUGUGUGUAUGUACUAUAAAAUAACAUGCAACUUAACAUAAACUCUAUUGUUUGGCAGGGAAUAACAUGGAUUUUAGUACAUCUACCUUUUUGCCGACUAACUUUUAACUAGGAA